CUGGACUCUUCCAGCUGGCUCCUGCAGCUAACCAAGACCCUCACGUCACCGUGCACGUCCCACGCUGCACCUGGAGGAAGGUGGUGCGCGACUGCCUUCUGGAGGCGGAUAUGAUCAUAAGAACUAGGAGGCCAGAAACAAUUCCAUGACUCCCCUGCCUCCUCCAACCAGCUGCUUGGCACUAUGAAGACAAGGAAUUAGGAUUGGUGAAGAAGAGGGAUGGCAACAUAAUGGUCUUGGUCUGGAAAAAGCACACAUUUUCUGCUGACAUCCCCAAGGAGCUCAACCUCAAGAUCAUCUACCAACGUAU
ensembl:lncRNA